rnacentral:rRNA from 1 species
ACUACGGGAGGCAGCAGUGGGGAAUAUUGCACAAUGGGGGAAACCCUGAUGCAGCGACGCCGCGUGAGUGAAGAAGUAUUUAGGUAUGGUAAGCUCUAUUAGCAGGGAAGAAAAUGACGAUACCUGUUUAAGAAGCCACGGCUAACUACGUUCAAGCAGCGGCGGCAAACCGGAGGCGGCCAGCGUGAUCCGGAUUUACUGGGUGUAAAGGGAGCGUAGACGGUAGCAUAAGUCGGGAGUGAAAUGCCGGGGCUUAACCCCGGAACUGCUUGUGAUACUGUGCCGCUAGAGUGCAGGCGAGGUAAGCGGAAUGACUGGUGUAGCGGUGAAAUGCGUAGAUAUUAUGAGGAACACCAGUGGCGAAGGCGGCUUACUGGACUGUAACUGACGUUGAGGCACGAAAGCGUGGGGAGCAAACAGGAUUAGAUACCCUUGUAGUC